rnacentral:rRNA from 1 species
GACGAACGCUGGCGGUGUGCUUCACACAUACAAGUCGAACGAGGUAGCAAUACCUAGUGGCGGACGGGUGAGUAACGCGUGGGAAUCUGCCUUUAGAUGGGGGAUAACGGGUCGAAAGACUCGCUAAUACCGCAUAUGACGAAAGUUGAAAGGAGUAAUCCGUCUAAAGAUGAGCCCGCGUCCGAUUAGCUAGUUGGUAGAGUAAAAGCCUACCAAGGCGACGAUCCGGUAGCUGGUCUGAGAGGAUGAUCAGCCACAAUGGGAACUAGAGACACGG